GCACCACAAGAACGCGUGGAGCAUGUGGCUUAAUUUGACUCAACGCGGGAAAUCUUACCAGGUCCGGACACACUGAGGAUUGACAGGAAGUAUCGUCUUUUGAAAUCUUAAGUACAUGUCGUUUCUAAUGACAUCUUUUAGAUGAAUGAUUCGUGUAAAUAUGCUAGUUCUUUCAUGAUUAUGUGAUAGGUGGUGCAUGGCCGUUCUUAGUUCGUGGAGUGAUCUGUCUGCUUAAUUGCGUUUCACUAUGGCCCCAAAGUUAGCAAGUUAUCCAAUCAUGACCUUCGUCGACCCCUCACCUUUGAGUGCGCGUCCUAGCUUAGAGUACAUGGUGUAAAUGGACUUGUUUUGGGUACCCAGAAAGCAACGAACGUGACCGCAACGUCUUGUUGUCUCUCUUUUGACAGUUAUGGGUUAUCCCAGUCAUGUGUUUAUGCUUUUAUGUGUAAAUACGUACGACACAGAGACUAGAUACCAAACUAGGCGUACCGCUGUAUCAUUUCUUUAAACCAGAGGAAGGUUGC
rnacentral:rRNA from 1 species